CAAUCGAACCCACACCGGUAACCAAACACCCCCCCCUUGCCUAACCCCCAAGGGGCGCCAGUCCCCUGGCCCGGGCCACAUCCGUGCCCCGGUGUCCAGGUCUGGCGGGGUGGGGGGCGGCCUCGGCUGCCCCUCCGCCUGGUAAUCUCUUAUACCUAACCUCAACACACCCCAAACCUGUAAACCAAACUGAAGCCAAUCGAGUCGGAGGGGGAAACCCCGACGGCCACGAACCAAUGACAACUCUCAACAACGGAUAUCUUGGCUCCCGUAUCGAUGAAGAACGCAGCGAAAUGCGAUACGUAGUGUGAAUUGCAGAAUUCCGUGAACCAUCGAAUCUUUGAACGCAACUUGCGCCCGAGGCUCCGGCCGAGGGCAUGCCUGCCUCAGCGUCGGUUUACACCCCCUCGCCCCCACCCCCUUGUGGGUAGUGGGAGCGGACCUGGCACCCUCGGGCUGCUGUCGGAAACCCUCCGACUGCCGGCCCGGGUCUGCUGAAGUUCAGAGGCUUGAGCAUGGACCCCGUUUGCAGGGCACCGGCUUGGUAGGUAGGCGUCAGCCUGCACCCCGCCUGCCGGUACCCGAGGGGACUUUGCUGGGAGCCCGACCGGGAGCCGAUUCGUCGACCUCCCACCCUUCAAACCUUCGACCUGAGCUCAGGCAAGACUACCCGCUGAACUUAAGCA
rnacentral:rRNA from 1 species